CAGGGUAGUAUGCUAUUGGAGAUCUGAAACAUACUUCAAUUGACAAGGUUAUAACUUCUGGGUUUCUGUCUACUGACCAUAACUGUGCUACUGCAGCGGGAAAUUGAACAGGCCAACAGAGACUAACGUUGAUGCCAGUCUAGUGGGUUUACCAGUGAUCCUUAUAUGAAAAGACGAUCUUGUUGGGAUAACCAUCUUCAUGGUUCUAUGAGGAAUUUCUGCCACUUACUGACAUACUGGCUGACCAGGAAUAUCUCCCAUCUACCAUCUACUUUAGGGUGUUAGAAGAAUUAGCAAAUCGAUUAUCAACCUGCCUUGCUGCAUUUUGCAUGCUACUUCCAUGGCCAACAAGUCCUGGAAUGGGAUUUGAAUCUGGAACUCUGCACUCAGCGAUCAGGCCCGACCCACUGAACCACAAGACUUCACUGAGGGAAUGCUUGCGUGUAAUCUGAUAUUGGAAAAGUGGACACUGCUUUGGCAUAAUCUACAGGAGACGUUUUGGCCCCUGGUGCACAGUGGCUCAGAAGUCACAAAUGUAAACUUUAAAACUGCACAUUAGCAGUUAUGUUUAUGACUUAAUAUUGUGGC